CCUACGGGGUGCACCAGUAGGGAAUCUUCGGCAAUGGACGGAAGUCUGACCGAGCAACGCCGCGUGAGUGAAGAAGGUUUUCGGAUCGUAAAGCUCUGUUGUAAGAGAAGAACGAGUGUGAGAGUGGAAAGUUCACACUGUGACGGUAUCUUACCAGAAAGGGACGGCUAACUACGUGCCAGCAGCCGCGGUAAUACGUAGGUCCCGAGCGUUGUCCGGAUUUAUUGGGCGUAAAGCGAGCGCAGGCGGUUAGAUAAGUCUGAAGUUAAAGGCUGUGGCUUAACCAUAGUACGCUUUGGAAACUGUUUAACUUGAGUGCAAGAGGGGAGAGUGGAAUUCCAUGUGUAGCGGUGAAAUGCGUAGAUAUAUGGAGGAACACCGGUGGCGAAAGCGGCUCUCUGGCUUGUAACUGACGCUGAGGCUCGAAAGCGUGGGGAGCAAACAGGAUUAGAUACCCUUGUAGUC
rnacentral:rRNA from 1 species